UCAUCCACAAAUCAUCUAAAAAAUUAUUGUAAAGAAAAGAAAAGAAGAAGAGAAAUUUUCUUGAAAAGAAAUAAGAUGAGGUCGUGGAUGAUAUGUGUGGUUUUCAUUAGCAUGGUGGUGAUGUUCCAAAAUGUUGAAGCAGACAGAAAAUAUCUUAAAUUUGUAGAUUGUAAUCAACCGAAGCCACCUCCAUUUUGCGGACUUUUGAAAUCAACCCAGCUAGUAGAACGUGGAUGCUCGGCUCUCCCCAGUAUCUGUCGUGGAAGUGGAUCAGCAGCACGCCGACCCAAUCCAUAGGUUUUUGAAACAAUUACCUUCUUCAUGCAUCCUAGUUGUUCCUUUUGGAUUUUUGAGAAGUAUAUACAGAAAAUGAAUCUUCUAGGAUGUACCAACUAUUUCCCUUAUUCAUUUACCAUAACUCAUAUGCAAUCCCACCCUGAUAUUUAUUUAUCAUGGAAGCAGAGACCAAAACAAUGUAUCACUUUCAAAGGUUAAAUUGCAAAUUUACUUCCACCCUCACAUUUGUAUCAAUUUAGUUCUUCAAAACUAAAAUUUACAAUUCUACUACUCUAACUAUCAAAUUUCAACUUAUCUAAUUUAUUUUUUCUUUCAUUCAAAAUUGUCAGGUCGGCAUUAGAGGACAACCAAAAUUUGAUUGCCAUAUAUUUCACUCCUACCUUUUUAUUAAUUCUCUCCAAAUAUAUGUGUACAUGUAAUGUAUAUAAUCUUCAACUAUAGAAGCCCACAGCUAUUAAAUUACAUUAUUGAAAAGCAUAUCAAAUGUAAAUCAAAAUUUGUCAAAUAAAUAUAUUUUUAUGGGUAGCUCCAAAAUUCUAUAGAAUUCAAAUGAUAUAAGAAUAUGAAUAAAAAGUAAUAGUACGAUAGAAAUUAGUAAUGUGAAAG
rnacentral:lncRNA from 1 species